rnacentral:rRNA from 1 species
GAAUGCUGACAUAAGUAACGAUAAAGCGGGUGAAAAGCCCGCUCGCCGGAAGACCAAGGGUUCCUGUCCAACGUUAAUCGGGGCAGGGUGAGUCGACCCCUAAGGCGAGGCCGAAAGGCGUAGUCGAUGGGAAACAGGUUAAUAUUCCUGUACUUGGUGUUACUGCGAAGGGGGGACGGAGAAGGCUAUGUUGGCCGGGCGACGGUUGUCCCGGUUUAAGCGUGUAGGCUGGUUUUCCAGGCAAAUCCGGAAAAUCAAGGCUGAGGCGUGAUGACGAGGCACUACGGUGCUGAAGCAACAAAUGCCCUGCUUCCAGGAAAAGCCUCUAAGCAUCAGGUAACAUCAAAUCGUACCCCAAACCGACACAGGUGGUCAGGUAGAGAAUACCAAGGCGCUUGAGAGAACUCGGGUGAAGGAACUAGGCAAAAUGGUGCCGUAACUUCGGGAGAAGGCACGCUGAUAUGUAGGUGAAGCGACUUGCUCGUGGAGCUGAAAUCAGUCGAAGAUACCAGCUGGCUGCAACUGUUUAUUAAAAACACAGCACUGUGCAAACACGAAAGUGGACGUAUACGGUGUGACGCCUGCCCGGUGCCGGAAGGUUAAUUGAUGGGGUUAGCGGUAACGCGAAGCUCUUGAUCGAAGCCCCGGUAAACGGCGGCCGUAACUAUAACGGUCCUAAGGUAGCGAAAUUCCUUGUCGGGUAAGUUCCGACCUGCACGAAUGGCGUAAUGAUGGCCAGGCUGUCUCCACCCGAGACUCAGUGAAAUUGAACUCGCUGUGAAGAUGCAGUGUACCCGCGGCAAGACGGAAAGACCCCGUGAACCUUUACUAUAGCUUGACACUGAACAUUGAGCCUUGAUGUGUAGGAUAGGUGGGAGGCUUUGAAGUGUGGACGCCAGUCUGCAUGGAGCCGACCUUGAAAUACCACCCUUUAAUGUUUGAUGUUCUAACGUUGGCCCGUAAUCCGGGUUGCGGACAGUGUCUGGUGGGUAGUUUGACUGGGGCGGUCUCCUCCUAAAGAGUAACGGAGGAGCACGAAGGUUGGCUAAUCCUGGUCGGACAUCAGGAGGUUAGUGCAAUGGCAUAAGCCAGCUUGACUGCGAGCGUGACGGCGCGAGCAGGUGCGAAAGCAGGUCAUAGUGAUCCGGUGGUUCUGAAUGGAAGGGCCAUCGCUCAACGGAUAAAAGGUACUCCGGGGAUAACAGGCUGAUACCGCCCAAGAGUUCAUAUCGACGGCGGUGUUUGGCACCUCGAUGUCGGCUCAUCACAUCCUGGGGCUGAAGUAGGUCCCAAGGGUAUGGCUGUUCGCCAUUUAAAGUGGUACGCGAGCUGGGUUUAGAACGUCGUGAGACAGUUCGGUCCCUAUCUGCCGUGGGCGCUGGAGAACUGAGGGGGGCUGCUCCUAGUACGAGAGGACCGGAGUGGACGCAUCACUGGUGUUCGGGUUGUCAUGCCAAUGGCACUGCCCGGUAGCUAAAUGCGGAAGAGAUAAGUGCUGAAAGCAUCUAAGCACGAAACUUGC